rnacentral:rRNA from 1 species
GCCUAACACAUGCAAGUCGAACGGUAACAGGAAGAAGCUUGCUUCUUUGCUGACGAGUGGCGGACGGGUGAGUAAUGUCUGGGAAACUGCCAGAUGGAGGGGGAUAACUACUGGAAACGGUAGCUAAUACCGCAUAACGUCGCAAGACCAAAGAGGGGGACCUUCGGGCCUCUUGCCAUCGGAUGUGCCCAGAUGGGAUUAGCUAGUAGGUGGGGUAAAGGCUCACCUAGGCGACGAUCCCUAGCUGGUCUGAGAGGAUGACCAGCCACACUGGAACUGAGACACGGUCCAGACUCCUACGGGAGGCAGCAGUGGGGAAUAUUGCACAAUGGGCGCAAGCCUGAUGCAGCCAUGCCGCGUGUAUGAAGAAGGCCUUCGGGUUGUAAAGUACUUUCAGCGGGGAGGAAGGGAGUAAAGUUAAUACCUUUGCUCAUUGACGUUACCCGCAGAAGAAGCACCGGCUAACUCCGUGCCAGCAGCCGCGGUAAUACGGAGGGUGCAAGCGUUAAUCGGAAUUACUGGGCGUAAAGCGCACGCAGGCGGUUUGUUAAGUCAGAUGUGAAAUCCCCGGGCUCAACCUGGGAACUGCAUCUGAUACUGGCAAGCUUGAGUCUCGUAGAGGGGGGUAGAAUUCCAGGUGUAGCGGUGAAAUGCGUAGAGAUCUGGAGGAAUACCGGUGGCGAAGGCGGCCCCCUGGACGAAGACUGACGCUCAGGUGCGAAAGCGUGGGAGCAAACAGGAUUAGAUACCCUGGUAGUCCACGCCGUAAACGAUGUCGACUUGGAGGUUGUGCCCUUGAGGCGUGGCUUCCGGAGCUAACGCGUUAAGUCGACCGCCUGGGGGGUACGGCCGCAAGGUUAAAACUCAAAUGAAUUGACGGGGGCCCGCACAAGCGGUGGAGCAUGUGGUUUAAUUCGAUGCAACGCGAAGAACCUUACCUGGUCUUGACAUCCACAGAACUUUCCAGAGAUGGAUUGGUGCCUUCGGGAACUGUGAGACAGGUGCUGCAUGGCUGUCGUCAGCUCGUGUUGUGAAAUGUUGGGUUAAGUCCCGCAACGAGCGCAACCCUUAUCCUUUGUUGCCAGCGGUCCGGCCGGGAACUCAAAGGAGACUGCCAGUGAUAAACUGGGGGAAGGUGGGGAUGACGUCAAGUCAUCAUGGCCCUUACGACCAGGGCUACACACGUGCUACAAUGGUGCAUACAAAGAGAAGCGACCUCGCGAGAGCAAGCGGACCUCAUAAAGUGCGUCGUAGUCCGGAUUGGAGUCUGCAACUCGACUCCAUGAAGUCGGAAUCGCUAGUAAUCGUGGAUCAGAAUGCCACGGUGAAUACGUUCCCGGGCCUUGUACACACCGCCCGUCACACCAUGGGAGUGGGUUGCAAAAGAAGUAGGUAGCUUAACCUUCGGGAGGGCGCUUACCACUUUGUGAUUCAUGACUGGGGUG